rnacentral:rRNA from 1 species
GAUGAACGCUGGCGGCGUGCCUAAUACAUGCAAGUCGAGCGAACAGAUGGGGAGCUUGCUCCUCUGACGUUAGCGGCGGACGGGUGAGUAACACGUGGAUAACCUACCUAUAAGACUGGGAUAACUUCGGGAAACCGGAGCUAAUACCGGAUAAUAUAUUGAACCGCACGGUUCAAUAGUGAAAGACGGUUUUGCUGUCACUUAUAGAUGGAUCCGCGCCGCAUUAGCUAGUUGGUAAGGUAACGGCUUACCAAGGCGACGAUGCGUAGCCGACCUGAGAGGGUGAUCGGCCACACUGGAACUGAGACACGGUCCAGACUCCUACGGGAGGCAGCAGUAGGGAAUCUUCCGCAAUGGGCGAAAGCCUGACGGAGCAACGCCGCGUGAGUGAUGAAGGUCUUCGGAUCGUAAAACUCUGUUAUUAGGGAAGAACAAAUGUGUAAGUAACUAUGCACGUCUUGACGGUACCUAAUCAGAAAGCCACGGCUAACUACGUG